rnacentral:lncRNA from 1 species
CACCAUUUGCAUGAACUAGAUUCUUGAUUGGGUCCCUCACUGUAUCCGAAAUAUUGAGCACAACCCAUCUUCUAAUCCAUAGCAUCCAAUGCCUAAUGGACAUGGUUGCGUCUUUCUGGUGCAACUGAGCCACUGUAACCAGCCGAGAACAAUCAACCCCAGGAAGGGCCCGCACAUCCACAAUGGUAGAAGACCUUAGACUUAAUAUUUUCUUAGAGAGAUUUGAUUUAGGUCUCACUAAACUUGACUUGAUAUAGUCAUAACAAUUAUGACUAACCUAGUGACAUGGGUUAGCUCGAAUUGUUAGCCACCUC